AACUCGUUGUUUUACACCGGGCUAACAACGAACCCUACAAUCCCCCAAUUUAACCUAGGCUUGGGACGCCUAUCCCUUGUUCCAAGUCCCUUGACUGGAACAAGUACAAUAAACGAGUGUUUCACAAAGAUUUGAAAGCUCUUAAGAAGGCAAAUAUAUCAAUGAGAAAUAACAAAACCCGGAAGAACCCUUUUUGCCGUUGGAAGCAUGGGUAAUGGUGGUUCUUCCGAUGUGGAUCGCGUUGGAUUGAAUGUGAGCUUUNNNNNNNNNNNNNNNNNNNNAACAUGGCUGCGAACUCUCUUCGAUCGCUGAGACGGAGAGGAUGUGGAUCUGCGACGAUAGAAGAUACGAAUCGAUUAAUUUCGUGACAAGUCUUUUGCUAUAUAUAUGCGGCAGACCAAGGGUUUUCAGCCCCCGUCUUAGCUUUAAAAGAACGCUGGAUUGAAUUAAAUUAAAAUAUAAACUCCAACAGGACAUCGAACUUCCAAUCCGUACCUUCCUCUACCCCAAGAUAGGCGGUGGGUUGGAUCCAAUCAGAAAUCAGAGAAAAAUAGGCGCAAUUCUAAGAGAGAAUUAGGGCAUUCAGAGUGGGAGGGGAUAGAGGUUUUUCUUUUGUCUCGCCCUCUCUUCUGUAAGGUUCUCGUCGGAGGCGCUUUAGAUUUAGAGGGGUUUACAAAGGGAAGGGGAGGAUGGAGACCUACACGCAGGACGGAGAUAAUAACAAGGCCUUUUACAUC
rnacentral:lncRNA from 1 species